rnacentral:rRNA from 1 species
UACGUAGGUGGCGAGCGUUGGCCGGAAUUACUGGGCGUAAAGGGUGCGUAGGCGGCUCCUUAAGUGAGGUGUGAAAUCCCUGGGCUCAACCCAGGAACUGCACUUCCAACUGGGGAGCUAGAGUGCAGGAGAGGAAGCGGAAUUCCCGGUGUAGCGGUGAAAUGCGUAGAGAUCGGGAGGAACACCAGUGGCGAGGGCGGCUUUCUGGACUGUAACUGACGCUGAGGCACGAAAGCGUGGGGAGCAAACAGG